GACGAACGCUGGCGGCGUGCUUAACACAUGCAAGUCGAACGGAAAGGCCCUGCUUUUGUGGGGUGCUCGAGUGGCGAACGGGUGAGUAACACGUGAGUAACCUGCCCUUGACUUUGGGAUAACUUCAGGAAACUGGGGCUAAUACCGGAUAGGAGCUCCUGCUGCAUGGUGGGGGUUGGAAAGUUUCGGCGGUUGGGGAUGGACUCGCGGCUUAUCAGCUUGUUGGUGGGGUAGUGGCUUACCAAGGCUUUGACGGGUAGCCGGCCUGAGAGGGUGACCGGCCACAUUGGGACUGAGAUACGGACCAGACUCCUACGGGAGGCAGCAGUGGGGAAUAUUGCACAAUGGGCGGAAGCCUGAUGCAGCAACGCCGCGUGCGGGAUGACGGCCUUCGGGUUGUAAACCGCUUUCUCCUGUGACGAAGCGUGAGUGACGGUAAUGGGUAAAGAAGCACCGGCUAACUACGUG
rnacentral:rRNA from 1 species